rnacentral:rRNA from 1 species
AGUGAACGCUGGCGGUAGGCCUAACACAUGCAAGUCGAACGGCAGCACAGUAAGAGCUUGCUCUUACGGGUGGCGAGUGGCGGACGGGUGAGGAAUACAUCGGAUUCUACUUUUUCGUGGGGGAUAACGUAGGGAAACUUACGCUAAUACCGCAUACGACCUACGGGUGAAAGCAGGGGAUCUUCGGACCUUGCGCGAUUGAAUGAGCCGAUGUCGGAUUAGCCAGUUGGCGGGGUAAAGGCCCACCAAGGCGACGAUCCGUAGCUGGUCUGAGAGGAUGAUCAGCCACACUGGAACUGAGACACGGUCCAGACUCCUACGGGAGGCAGCAGUGGGGAAUAUUGGACAAUGGGCGCAAGCCUGAUCCAGCCAUACCGCGUGGGUGAAGAAGGCCUUCGGGUUGUAAAGCCCUUUUGUUGGGAAAGAAAAGCAGCAGGUUAAUACCCCGCUGUUCUGACGGUACCCAAAGAAUAAGCACCGGCUAACUUCGUG